rnacentral:rRNA from 1 species
AACUAAAGGCCGCUGGUAGACUACCAGGUUGAUAGGCUAGGUGUGUAAGUUCGGUAACGAACUUAGCUAACUAGUACUAAUUGGCCGUGCGGCUUGACCAUA